GGCGUGUAGAUGGAAGCAGUAGAAGAAAGAAAGAAGGAGAACGAAGAAGAAAGGAAGAAUGGAAAUGGAAGAAGAGGAUGAGCCAAGCCACAUAUUUACCUGAGGUGGGCCUUCGCUGUGGCCAGGCAGUUCAGCCUUGCCGUCAACCCUCCAUGUGAUGAGUGAGUUGCCGGUUGAGCUGGAGUGUCCUGGUAUUGGGAGCUCGUCUGGUAUUGCAGACAACCAUCUGUGUAAUCUUUUCGUGAAGAGGUCCGGUGUGACCCGUCAGGUUCCUAAUGGUGUCCGGCACAGCGUUGAAGAGGUCUGCAGAAAACAACACGCCGAUUUAUUUGAAGUCAAGGACAGAGAUUAAAACGGCCUUGAAAAACACCACACCCAUUUUGUCCACCGCCAUCACCACCUUCUCCCAGAUCAAGGACAAAGUGUAUUACAGACUCACACAUAAGGAAGAGAUGCGUGUGAGUGUGUUUGGGUGUGUUUGGAUGCGUUUGGGUGUGUUUUGGGUCUGUUUGAGUGUGUUUUGAUUGUAUUUCAUGUGUUUUUGAUGCAUUUGAAUAUGUUUUUGGAUAUUAUAAGUGUUUGGAUGCAGUUUUGGGUGUGUUUGUUUGUGUGUUUCAGCUUGUGUUAUGAUGCUAAUGUAUUUUAAGCUAACCUACCACCCAAGACUCUCUCUCUCUCUCUCUCUCUCUCUCUCUCUCUCUCUCUCUCUCUCUCUCUCUCUCUCUCUCUCUCU
rnacentral:lncRNA from 1 species